UCCGGCGUCACUUUUCCGGCUAGGUUUCCGUCGAUUCACAAUAUUUUGAAUCGGAAAAAUCUGGUUUCGACGAAGGUUCAUAUUAUAAGAUGAACAGGAGGAAGAAAGAUUUCGGGAUAGGAGACAAUGAAAGCGAAUUCUACGAUGGGAAGAUGAAAAAGAAUGAGCAGUCAAUGUCGUCGGCAUCUAUAACAUCAUCGGUGAAAGAGGAUAUGGAACCUGUGCAGUGUAGGUGCGGAC